rnacentral:rRNA from 1 species
CGGGACACGUGGUAUCCUGUCUGAAUAUGGGGGGACCAUCCUCCAAGGCUAAAUACUCCUGACUGACCGAUAGUGAACCAGUACCGUGAGGGAAAGGCGAAAAGAACCCCGGCGAGGGGAGUGAAAAAGAACCUGAAACCGUGUACGUACAAGCAGUGGGAGCACAGAGCAAUCUGUGUGACUGCGUACCUUUUGUAUAAUGGGUCAGCGACUUAUAUUCUGUAGCAAGGUUAACCGAAUAGGGGAGCCGAAGGGAAACCGAGUCUUAACUGGGCGUUAAGUUGCAGGGUAUAGACCCGAAACCCGGUGAUCUAGCCAUGGGCAGGUUGAAGGUUGGGUAACACUAACUGGAGGACCGAACCGACUAAUGUUGAAAAAUUAGCGGAUGACUUGUGGCUGGGGGUGAAAGGCCAAUCAAACCGGGAGAUAGCUGGUUCUCCCCGAAAGCUAUUUAGGUAGCGCCUCGUGAAUUCAUCUCCGGGGGUAGAGCACUGUUUCGGCAAGGGGGUCAUCCCGACUUACCAACCCGAUGCAAACUGCGAAUACCGGAGAAUGUUAUCACGGGAGACACACGGCGGGUGCUAACGUCCGUCGUGAAGAGGGAAACAACCCAGACCGCCAGCUAAGGUCCCAAAGUCAUGGUUAAGUGGGAAACGAUGUGGGAAGGCCCAGACAGCCAGGAUGUUGGCUUAGAAGCAGCCAUCAUUUAAAGAAAGCGUAAUAGCUCACUGGUCGAGUCGGCCUGCGCGGAAGAUGUAACGGGGCUAAACCAUGCACCGAAGCUGCGGCAGCGACGCUGAUGCGUUGUUGGGUAGGGGAGCGUUCUGUAAGCCUGUGAAGGUGUGCUGUGAGGCAUGCUGGAGGUAUCAGAAGUGCGAAUGCUGACAUAAGUAACGAUAAAGCGGGUGAAAAGCCCGCUCGCCGGAAGACCAAGGGUUCCUGUCCAACGUUAAUCGGGGCAGGGUGAGUCGACCCCUAAGGCGAGGCCGAAAGGCGUAGUCGAUGGGAAACAGGUUAAUAUUCCUGUACUUGGUGUUACUGCGAAGGGGGGACGGAGAAGGCUAUGUUGGCCGGGCG